GGUGGCUCUCAUCCAACAACUCAUGGUAGCCAUGUAUUAGCUGCUGUGAGCAAUAAUGAGCUAAGACAAAGAUUUCCUUGACGGUCGCUGCUCAGCUUAAUUGGUAACUGACUAGCAACAUUUCAGGAAAUUACAAGU